UUAAGGCAAAGUUGCAAAUUAAGAGAGAAAGUGGAAGAAAAGGCUCGAAGGUUUCAAGCGAGAAAACCCUCGAGGGUUCAGUGAGACGCGAGAGAAAGUGGAGCUCUAGGGCUCAUGCCACUCACUUAUUGAAGCUGAACCAGGGAGAUCGAACCGGCGAAGAACGACAACCGUCCGAUUGAAUUGAAGAAAGCGUCGAAGAGAGAUUGAUGCGUCGUCGAGAGUGGAAUGGCGUAUGAACAUCACAAACCUACGCAACCAUGGAUCAAGGACGCACUACCUGUAUUGCUGGUUCUUCUGAUAGCAGUGCAUGUCCUCGCUAUGGUGUAUUGGAUUUAUAAAUUAGCCAUCCAGAAACAGACGCAAAGGAGAAAGGCUCACUGAAGGGCAAGGUCCGUCAUUUUUGAACCCUAAUUUACCUCUUACAAAAAGCUUAACCGCUGUAGAAUGUCCUUAGUCUUCAUUUUACUGGUCUUGUUUGAUAAUGAUCGCAACAGUUAUCAUUUCACUCAGUGCAAAAUGGAUUAGAUUCAUACGCAGCAUCUUAGUGUCGCUUCCACACUUGUUUACAUUGUUGGGAUUUUAAUUUAUGGUCUCUUGUAGAGCAUGUUUUUAAUUUAUUUAUUCGGAUCUUAUGAUCAA